rnacentral:rRNA from 1 species
UUCCUACGGGGGGCAGCAGUGAGGAAUAUUGGUCAAUGGGCGCGAGCCUGAACCAGCCAAGUCGCGUGAGGGAUGGCGGUCCUACGGAUUGUAAACCUCUUUUGCCGGGGAGCAAGCGUGCGUUCGUGAACGCGCGUCGAGAGUACCCGGAGAAAAAGCAUCGGCUAACUCCGUGCCAGCAGCCGCGGUAAUACGGAGGAUGCGAGCGUUAUCCGGAUUUAUUGGGUUUAAAGGGUGCGUAGGCGGAAUGCCAAGUCAGCGGUAAAAUCGCGGGGCUCAACCUCGCUCCGCCGUUGAAACUGGCG